UAUACAUGCAAGUCGAGCGAACAGACGAGGAGCUUGCUCCUCUGACGUUAGCGGCGGACGGGUGAGUAACACGUGGAUAACCUACCUAUAAGACUGGGAUAACUUCGGGAAACCGGAGCUAAUACCGGAUAAUAUAUUGAACCGCAUGGUUCAAUAGUGAAAGACGGUUUUGCUGUCACUUAUAGAUGGAUCCGCGCCGCAUUAGCUAGUUGGUAAGGUAACGGCUUACCAAGGCAACGAUGCGUAGCCGACCUGAGAGGGUGAUCGGCCACACUGGAACUGAGACACGGUCCAGACUCCUACGGGAGGCAGCAGUAGGGAAUCUUCCGCAAUGGGCGAAAGCCUGACGGAGCAACGCCGCGUGAGUGAUGAAGGUCUUCGGAUCGUAAAACUCUGUUAUUAGGGAAGAACAAAUGUGUAAGUAACUAUGCACGUCUUGACGGUACCUAAUCAGAAAGCCACGGCUAACUACGUGCCAGCAGCCGCGGUAAUACGUAGGUGGCAAGCGUUAUCCGGAAUUAUUGGGCGUAAAGCGCGCGUAGGCGGUUUUUUAAGUCUGAUGUGAAAGCCCACGGCUCAACCGUGGAGGGUCAUUGGAAACUGGAAAACUUGAGUGCAGAAGAGGAAAGUGGAAUUCCAUGUGUAGCGGUGAAAUGCGCAGAGAUAUGGAGGAACACCAGUGGCGAAGGCGACUUUCUGGUCUGUAACUGACGCUGAUGUGCGAAAGCGUGGGGAUCAAACAGGAUUAGAUACCCUGGUAGUCCACGCCGUAAACGAUGAGUGCUAAGUGUUAGGGGGUUUCCGCCCCUUAGUGCUGCAGCUAACGCAUUAAGCACUCCGCCUGGGGAGUACGACCGCA
rnacentral:rRNA from 1 species